UCACAGGUGCAAGAUCAAUCAAAUAUUGAUUCAGUGGAUGUGAUAGGGAUUGUUACCCAAGCCUGACAUCAUGGGCUGAGAGAGAGUGAUUGGCCUAAAGUCACUCAGCCGGCUUUCAAGCCUAAGGCUGGGACUAGAACUCACUAUCUCCUGGUUUCUCUGGGUGCCUGAACCACUAGAUCAAAGUAGCUCUGUAUAUUUGUAUUACAUACGCUGUUUAAAUUAUAGAGCUUUACAACUGGAUUCAGUAAACUAUGUUCUAAAUAUGUCUGCAUUUUUUUUAGAUCCCGGUGAUUUAAUGUUAAGAAUUUACAGAGCUGAAUCUUACGCUAGUCUUCAAGAAUUUAAAUCUGCACUAGAUGAACUGAAUGCUGUUACUGCUAAAAUGCCAAAUUGGCCUGAGGUAUAUUUCAGAAGAGCAACAAUACUUAAUAAUGCUGGUUCUGUAGAAGAUGCCUUAAAGGUCUUUCUUCAUUGCCUAUCUCUUGAUGAAGGAUUUGUUUUAGCUAAAGUAGAAGCAAAAAAGAUAUUGCAUAAUUUGCUGUCCCCAGAAAACAUUAGUGAAACAUUGAAAGAAUCUGCUUUAAAUACUUCAUAUGUUCGAAAUAAACAACUUAAACACAGCUCUGCACUUGAAAUGGAAGAAUCUUAUGAUUGUUUACAGCUCACCCCUGUGUCAGUCUUAGAAGAGCCACAAGUGAUACUAGACAUUGUUGGAGGAAAUUUGCAACGUGCCCAGUCUGCAAGUUCUCUUGAUUCAGUAGAAAAAGAUGCCAAAGACAAUGUAUUAAAAAGAAUAUCUUCUGAACCAUUGCUUUCUGGCCAAGAGAAAGAAACUCCAAAAAGGAAUGAUACCUUUUCAAUCUCUUGUGGAAUAGUUCCAGAAAAUUUGGUUGAUGUAACAGACUUUGAAUGCUCAUUGUGUUUGAGGCUGUUCUUUCAUCCUGUGACAACACCCUGUGGCCAUACAUUCUGCAAGAAAUGUUUACAACGCUGUUUGGACCAUGCUCCAGAGUGUCCCCUCUGUAAAGAAAACUUAACAGAGUUUUUGGCACGUAGGGAAUACAGCACUACACGGUUGCUAGAAGAUCUAAUAUUGAAGUAUUUGCCUACUGAAUUAUCGGAGAGAAAAAGAAUUAAUGACGAAGAAAUAGCUGAACUCUCAAGCCUGACCAGGAAUGUUCCUAUCUUUGUUUGCACUUUGGCCUACCCUACUGUGCCUUGCCCCCUCCAUGUGUUUGAACCAAGAUAUAGACUGAUGAUUCGAAGAAGUAUAGAAACUGGAACAAAACAAUUUGGGAUGUGCGUGCAUGACCCCCAGAAUGGAUUUGCAGAUUAUGGCUGCAUGUUGUAUAUUAGAAAUCUUGACUAUCUGCCAGAUGGGCGAUCUGUUGUUGAUACAAUUGGAUUAAAGAGAUUCCGAGUUAUUCGAAGAGGAAUGAAGGAUGGUUAUUGUACUGCAGACAUUGAGGAUUUAGAAGAUAUAAAGCUAAAGAAAAUUGAGGGAAGAAUAAAGCAGCUUAGUGAAAACCAUGAAAGUGAAUAGCCUGGUCCUGGAGCAGAUCCUCCUACCCUGUCCCAGGGCCUGCUGAAAGAGCCAUGUUUUUACAGAAGAGUUGCAGCCCUAUGGAGCCCAGGGAGAACACUGUUCCCUAGGGUAGGUGCAGCUGCAGAGAAGACAGGUCUCCUCGAUGUCACUGGAUGACCAGGCUUUUACACCUGGUAUCAAUUGUUUUAGUUGUUUUGGUUUUUAUGUUUUAUGAUGUACACGGCCCAGAAUCACCCAUUGACAUGAAUGGCUAUGGAGUUCAAAUACGGCUAGAGUACGACAACCUCUACUUAGUCUUAUAGUAUACGCAAUGAAAGCGGAAAGGUAGAAAUGUAGCUAAACAAGCAAAAGGGACCAAUCACACCAGAAAACCCACCACUCGCCAGGCAGCUCACAAAGCUGACAUGAACAUGGGAACUUCCCAACUAACACAUUAGUUACAUUUUGCCCCUGUAGUUAUGAGUGAUCUUUUAAGAGUAGUCUAGUGCGGCAGUCCCCACACUUUUUGGCAAGGGAGGGGAAGGUUUCAGUUUUGCUUGCUCACUCGCCUCCCAACUGUCUGGCCUGGUUCCUAAUGGUAUCGGUUUGUGGCCCAGGGAUUGGGGGCCUCUGAUCUAGUGCACAUUGCAAUAGUCCAAGCUGUUGACUCAGUCAUGAAUAACUUGGGUGAAAGGCCUUAUAAUCCAGGGUUCUUUUCAUUAAAAAAAUAAUAAUAAAGAGAAUGAGCAUGCUGCAAACUAAAGCAGCAGCCUCAGAUGCUCUUAUUUCUCAAAAUGCUGCUUCAUUUUUGUUGGGACCAAGUAGAUUAUUUGGAUGUUCCUUAAGAAAUCAUGGAAAUAGAUUCUAUAGGGAAUUAUAAGAUGGUUUUUGGCUACAACAAGCAGAUCUUUUCCCAAUUUGAAACUGUUACAGGUCGUCCUCAACUCAUGACUACAAUUGAGCCCAUUAUUUCUGUUGUUAAGUGACUUUGAAUGAUUGACCACACCAACUUGCUUUGGGAUCCUACUUGCUGGUAUUUUGAAAUGAGCUUCCUUGUAAUUAAUUUCCCCCUUUCCAUUUGUAAAGGUUGAACUCUUCAUUCUUAUAUACCAUGCCAGCUGUAUAAUUUGUAUAGUUUCAUGGCUAAAAUUUUAAUGUAGUGAUUACACUAUAUUUUCUUGAUGUGCAGGUUAAAGAUGAAGGUGAGAUGAGAAAACUGCAAGAGCUCCAUAAUAUUGUUUACAACCAGGCGUGUGGCUGGUUUCAAAGCCUAAGAAAUAAAUUUCAUAGCCAAAUUCUUCAGUACUUUGGUCCAAUGCCAGAG